UACGAAGGGGGCUAGCGUUGUUCGGAUUUACUGGGCGUAAAGCGCACGUAGGCGGAUUGUUAAGUCGGGGGUGAAAUCCUGGAGCUCAACUUCAGAAUUGCCUUCGAUACUGGCUGUCUGGAGGUCGAGAGAGGUGAGUGGAAUUCCUGGUGUAGCGGUGAAAUGCGCAGAUAUCAGGAGGAACACCCCUUGCGAAGGCAGCUCGCUGGGACGUUACUGACGCUGAGACGCGAAAGCGUGGGGAGCAAACAGG
rnacentral:rRNA from 1 species